rnacentral:rRNA from 1 species
UGGAGCAUGUGGUUAAUUCGAUGCAACGCGAAGAACCUUACCAGGAUUUGACAUCCCCCUGACCGGUGUAGAGAUACACCUUCCUUCGGGGCAGGGGUGACAGGUGGUGCAUGGUUGUCGUCAGCUCGUGUCGUGAGAUGUUGGGUUAAGUCCCGCAGCGAGCGCAACCCCUACCCUUAGUUGCCAGCGGGUCAUGCCGGGCACUCUAAAGGAACUGCCAGCGUAAGCUGGAGGAAGGUGGGGAUGACGUCAAAUCAUCAUGCCCUUUAUGUCCUGGGCUACACACGUGCUACAAUGGUCGGUACAGAGGGCUGCAAAGGAGCGAUCCGGAGCUAAUCCCAAAAAGCCGGCCUCAGUUCGGAUAGAAGGCUGCAACUCGCCUUCUUGAAGUCGGAAUCGCUAGUAAUCGCAGGUCAGCAAUACUGCGGUGAAUACGUUCCCGGGCUUU